CCUACGGGGGGCAGCAGUCGGGAAUAUUGCGCAAUGGAGGAAACUCUGACGCAGUGACGCCGCGUAUAGGAAGAAGGUUUUCGGAUUGUAAACUAUUGUCGUUAGGGAAGAGAAAGGACAGUACCUAAGGAGGAAGCUCCGGCUAACUACGUGCCAGCAGCCGCGGUAAUACGUAGGGAGCGAGCGUUAUCCGGAAUUAUUGGGUGUAAAGGGUGCGUAGACGGGAAAACAAGUUAGUUGUGAAAUCCCUCGGCUUAACUGAGGAACUGCAACUAAAACUAUUUUUCUUGAGUGCAGGAGAGGUA
rnacentral:rRNA from 1 species